AGAUUGAACGCUGGCGGCAGGCCUAACACAUGCAAGUCGAGCGGUAGAGAGGUGCUUGCAUCUCUUGAGAGCGGCGGACGGGUGUGUAAUGCCUAGGAAUCUGCCUAGUGGUGGGGGAUAACGUUCGGAAACGGACGCUAAUACCGCAUACGUCCUACGGGAGAAAGCGGGGAACCUUCGGGCCUCGCGCCAUUAGAUGGGCCUAGGUCGGAUUAGCUAGUUGGUGAGGUAAUGGCUCACCAAGGCGACGAUCCGUAACUGGUCUGAGAGGAUGAUCAGUCACACUGGAACUGAGACACGGUCCAGACUCCUACGGGAGGCAGCAGUGGGGAAUAUUGGACAAUGGGACGAAAGCCUGAUCCAGCCAUGCGCGUGUGUGAAGAGGUCUUCGGAUUGAAAGCUAUUAAGUGGAGAGGUUGUAACGUAAUACGUG
rnacentral:rRNA from 1 species